rnacentral:lncRNA from 1 species
GGGAGGUGGAGGGAGGAGGUAGGGAAACAGCUGUGGAAAGUGAUGUCAUUUGACAAGGCUGGGAAGGAGCAGCUUGGUGAGAGAACUGGCCUCUCACCCCGGUGCAGAGCUCUCCCAUGCGCUCGCCUGCAUGAAAAGCCGGGAGGAGUGAUCGUGCUGUUGCUCAGGGGCGGGCUUCAGCUCCGAGUGGGAAGCGACUUGCCUGGUUCCCACAGAGAAGAGGACCUGGUCAUGUGCCUUGAAGUGUGGCCAGAGGGAUCGCAGGAGAAAGCAGAGGAUUGUACCAACACACUCUCCUGUCAACUUGCAGAGGGGUUCCCUUUUUCCAGCUGCUUAUCAGACUUGCAAGAUUUUGCCCAUCUGAUCAGCGUGAGAACAAGUCUCCGCUGUUGCCAUGUGUUUCCCUGAUCACCAGCGACGGAGCUUGGCGGAACUUGCAAUGCCUGGUAAUAUUGUGAAACUGGCAACUGGUUCCUAAUUACCCUGAAGUUCUAAAGAAAUUUCAAGUGGGGCACUUGUACCAACCUGAAAUGACAUGAACAGAGUGUAGCUCAACAAAUCAAAAUGGAACGAGCGAAAGAGGAGGCCACGGGAACAACGUCUGGAUGUCGUAAAAAUAUGUAAUGCUUUCAAAAUCAUGUGUAGUUAAGGAAAAUUUUGAAGAAAUGCCAGCUGGCCCAGCUUGUGCACCUAUCCUAUCGUUAUUCAUUGCAUUUCAUGAUUUUUACAGAAAAUAAUUUUGUUGUGUGGAAGAGGAGUGAGUUACAAAAUGAUCUGCACUGGUGCCAAGCACUCUGGUUACACCACUGAUUUGCCACCUCUGCUUGGGCUCCACGGGCUGGGUGCCCUGGUGGGCUCUCAGUCAGGGGCCAAGGCGUGGCAGAGUCAGUUACCCUCAG